GAUGAACGCUGGCGGCGUGCCUAAUACAUGCCAGUCGAGCGAACAGACGAGGAGCUUGCUCCUCUGACGUUAGCGGCGGACGGGUGAGUAACACGUGGAUAACCUACCUAUAAGACUGGGAUAACUUCGGGAAACCGGAGCUAAUACCGGAUAAUAUAUUGAACCGCAUGGUUCAAUAGUGAAAGACGGUUUUGCUGUCACUUAUAGAUGGAUCCGCGCCGCAUUAGCUAGUUGGUAAGGUAACGGCUUACCAAGGCAACGAUGCGUAGCCGACCUGAGAGGGUGAUCGGCCUCACUGGAACUGAGACACGGUCCAGACUCCUACGGGAGGCAGCAGUAGGGAAUCUUCCGCAAUGGGCGAAAGCCUGACGGAGCAACGCCGCGUGAGUGAUGAAGGUCUUCGGAUCGUAAAACUCUGUUAUUAGGGAAGAACAAAUGUGUAAGUAACUAUGCACGUCUUGACGGUACCUAAUCAGAAAGCCACGGCUAACUACGUG
rnacentral:rRNA from 1 species